AUGCUUCAGGUCAUGAAAAAUCCUUGCCUCCCCUGCUUGCUGUCAAUUGACCAAGAAAUGUUGUCGGUUUAACAAACUCCUAGGUUUUCAUAUGAAGACGUUGUGGACCAAGAAGUAUAUUUCAAACUUGUGGAGGCACAUUCAGUCAUGUGUUACACCGAGAAGAUGAGAAACCCCCGAACGCAGCGUGUGGCCGCUUCAAACUCACGUAAGGAGCAGACGCUGCGCGUGCCAAUGAGGGUUUUUUUUAAUGUGAGACCAUGGUCUUGAACUUGGGUCAGGGUAUCAAACUUUUCCUCUUAGUACUAUGUGCUCACAUAUCAUUUAUCUCUUUUAGAAACACAUAAUCUUU